rnacentral:RNase_P_RNA from 1 species
UCAGGCGGCCGGAUGGCCGCCUCCCGCGAUGCGGGGGGAGGAAAGUCCGGGCUCCACGGAAACACGGUGCCGGGUAACGCCCGGNNNNNNNNNNGGCAAACCCCACCGGGAGCAAGACCGAGUAGGGGCGGCACGGGGCUCCGGCCCCGGGCGGGUUUCCGCGCCGCCGCCCGGGUAGGUCGCGCGAGGCGCCCGGCGACGGGCGUCCCAGAUGAAUGGCCAUCCCCCGCGCGCGGGGACAGAACCCGGCUUACAGGCCGCCUGACGCU